UUCUUCAUCUUUUACUCCGUAUUAACACUGAGGUUGAUGUUCGCAGUAACUAACCAUCAGCCUCGCUGUCAAUACGGCGUAACUGAUGGUAG
rnacentral:pre_miRNA from 1 species